rnacentral:rRNA from 1 species
GACGGGGGGGCAAGUGUUCUUCGGAAUGACUGGGCGUAAAGGGCACGUAGGCGGUGAAUCGGGUUGAAAGUGAAAGUCGCCAAAAGUGGCGGAAUGCUCUCGAAACCAAUUCACUUGAGUGAGACAGAGGAGAGUGGAAUUUCGUGUGUAGGGGUGAAAUGCGCAGAUAUCAGGAAGAACACCCGUGGCGAAGGCGGCUCUCUGGGACGGUACUGACGCUGAGACGCGAAAGCGUGGGGAGCGAACAGG